AAAAAUGAGGAACAAAUUAAGUGUGAACCAGGACGUGAUGUCCUGAAACCAUGAGCCACAAUUUUAGCUUAUUGAUAUUCUGAUUUCA
rfam:Eutrema salsugineum unplaced genomic scaffold scaffold_2, whole genome shotgun sequence.